ACAGGUCACCUAUAGAAAAUCAUUUCAAAAAAUUAUUACAAAUGAGUAUAAUUAUUGCAAAUACUUAGGAAUUAUCAAACAAAUUAAACAUACACAGUUAGGAAUUAUCAAUCCUCAAUGCUAAACAAUAUAAAUUCUAUAAAAUCACCAGAAGCAAAAGGAUGAUUGCAAUACGAUUUCAAUAGCAGGAUUACAAGAUUGCAAUCCUCUCUAAUUAGUAACUACAAUUUCAUUUGAAAAACAAUCCACCAACUUGAGUUCUCAAUACCAAUCACUUUGGAUCAUUCAUUGAAGUCUUGAUCAUUUAUUGGAGCAUUAACACUCUGCCUAUCAUCUCCAUUGAAGUCUAGGAUCCAUUUAAUGCAUAUUAUUUUUUUCCUUGAUUUACUAAGUUUGAAACGACAAAUUAUGUUCUUUUAUGUGAUUGGAAAAACAAUAGCAAAGAGAAAUGGUUGAUAAAAGACAAUAGCAAAGGAAAAGUAAUCCAACAUAAAAAUAAGGGAUCAAUAAGACCAAACUCAAAUAAGAUAGAAAUAUCACAACGAUACGAA
rnacentral:misc_RNA from 1 species